AUUGAACGCUGGCGGCAUGCCUUACACAUGCAAGUCGAACGGCAGCACGGGGCAACCUGGUGGCGAGUGGCGAACGGGUGAGUAAUGCAUCGGAACGUACCUUUCAGUGGGGGAUAACGUAGCGAAGGUUACGCUAAUACCGCAUAUUCUGUGAGCAGGAAAGCAGGGGAUCGCAAGACCUUGCGCUGAUUGAGUGGCCGAUGUCAGAUUAGCUAGUUGGUGAGGUAAAGGCUCACCAAGGCGACGAUCUGUAGCGGGUCGGAGAGGAUGAUCCGCCACACUGGAACUGAGACACGGUCCAGACUCCUACGGGAGGCAGCAGUGGGGAACUUUGGACAAUGGGGGCAACCCUGAUCCAGCCAUGCCGCGUGAGUGAAGAAGGCCUUCGGGUUGUAAAGCUCUUUCGGCCGGGAAGAAAUCGCACGGGCUAAUACCCUGUGUGGAUGACGGUACCGGAAUAAGAAGCACCGGCUAACUACGUGCCAGCCGCCGCGGUAAAAC
rnacentral:rRNA from 1 species